CCAUCCUUAGCUCAGUUGGUAGAGCGCCCGUCUUAUACACGGGUGGUCGGAGGUUCGACUCCUCCAGGAUGGACCA
rnacentral:tRNA from 1 species